GCAGUGGGGUGAAGGAAAUGCUUUAGCUGCUGGCAUUGAGUUCAUCGGAAGGGGAAGGGAAGAUUGGCUUCGACGUCGUCGUCGUCGCUGUUCUUGAUUUCGUCCUUCUUCUUUUUCUUUUAAGAGUGCUCAAAUGGCCAUACUCUAUGUUCUGGAUGCAAACCUAGAGUUCACAGUCGAUGCCCCACUUGCAGGCAUGAGCUAGGCAACAUAAGGUGUCUUGCAUUGGAGAAGGUUGCAUCUUCUCUUGAACUGCCUUGCAAGUACCAAACCUUUGGUUGUUUGGGUAUAUAUCCAUAGUACUGCAAACUAAAACAUGAAUCACAAUGCACAUUCAGACCCUACACUUGUCCAUACGCUGGAUCUGAGUGCACAGUUGCCGGUGACAUUCCUUAUGUGGUGACUCAUCUAAAAGAUGAUACGAGGUUGAGAAUGCAACCUGGAUGCUGAUGGUUUUCAGUUGCUUUGGACAGUACUUCUGCCUUCACUUUGCGGCAUUUCAGCUAGGUAUGGCACUGGGGGAUGAUAAUGAAGCUAAAUGCUACAGCUAUAGCCUCGAGGUUGGAGGUUAAGGAAGAUAACAUAACAAGGAGUUCCCGGAAGUAUAAGAGACAGUCAUUGGAAGAUAACACAAUUUCAGAGGAUAUUAAUGGCAGCUGGAGUUUCAACGAACAGUUCAAUGACAGAGAACUUGGGAGUAAGAUCCUGAAAUAUGAAGGAGUUUGAAUUAAAAAUAAUUAAAUUCUUGAUAUUCUUUUCAGAUAACAUAAUUUUAAAGGAUAUUAAUGGCAGCUAGAGUUUCAAUUAACAGUUCAAUGACAAAGAACUCAGACUAGAUUUUGA